rnacentral:misc_RNA from 1 species
UACGAAGGGGGCUAGCGUUGUUCGGAAUUACUGGGCGUAAAGCGCGCGUAGGCGGGCAUUUAAGUCAGGGGUGAAAUCCCAGGGCUCAACCCUGGAACUGCCUUUGAUACUGGAUGCCUGGAGUUCGGGAGAGGUGAGUGGAAUUCCGAGUGUAGAGGUGAAAUUCGUAGAUAUUCGGAGGAACACCAGAAGCGAAGGCGGCUCACUGGUCCGAUACUGACGCUGAGGCGCGAAAGCGUGGGGGGCAAACAGG